AUACGGAGGGUGCAAGCGUUGUUCGGAAUUAUUGGGCGUAAAGCGCGUGUAGGCGGUUUGUUAAGUCUGAUGUGAAAGCCCCGGGCUCAACCUGGGAAGUGCAUUGGAAACUGGCAAACUUGAGUACGGGAGAGGAAAGUGGAAUUUCGAGUGUAGGGGUGAAAUCCGUAGAUAUUCGAAGGAACACCAGUGGCGAAGGCGGCUUUCUGGACCGAUACUGACGCUGAGACGCGAAAGCGUGGGGAGCAAACAGGAUUAGAUACCCGGGUAGUCCACGCCGUAAGCGAUGGGUACUAGGUGGUGGGCGGUAGCGCUCAGUACCGAAGCAAACGCAUUAAGUGUACCGCCUGGGGAGUAUGCUCGCAAGGGUGAA
rnacentral:rRNA from 1 species